UAAGGAAUAUUGGUCAAUGGAGGGAACUCUGAACCAGCCAUGCCGCGUGCAGGAAGACGGCCCUCUGGGUUGUAAACUGCUUUUAUUCGGGAAUAAACCUCUUUACGUGUAGAGAGCUGAAGGCACCAAAUGAAUAAGCACCGGCUAACUCCGUGCCAGCAGCCGCGGUAAUACGGAGGAUCCAAGCGUUAUCCGGAUUUAUUGGGUUUAAAGGGUCCGCAGGCGGUCUUAUAAGUCAGUGGUGAAAGCCUACAGCUCAACUGUAGAACUGCCAUUGAUACUGUAAGACUUGAAUUCGAUCGAAGUGGGCGGAAUAUGACAUGUAGCGGUGAAAUGCUUAGAUAUGUCAUAGAACACCGAUUGCGAAGGCAGCUUACUAUGGUUUAAUUGACGCUGAGGCACGAAAGCGUGGGGAUCAAACA
rnacentral:rRNA from 1 species